rnacentral:misc_RNA from 1 species
GAGUAGAUGAUUAAAAAAAAAAGAAAUUAUAUUCUUUUUUUUUUUUUUCCCGAAAUCUGUUAGUAAUUUUUAAGAUAAUACCCUUUUUUUUUUUAAAAAAAAAAAGAAAAAAAAGAAAAAAAAGAUGACCUCAAAUCAAGCAGGAUUACUCGCUGAAUUUAAGC